ACGGGAGGCAGCAGUGGGGAAUAUUGGACAAUGGGGGAAACCCUGAUCCAGCGACGCCGCGUGAGUGAAGAAGUAUUUCGGUAUGUAAAGCUCUAUCAGCAAGAAAGAAAAUGACGGUACUUGACUAAGAAGCCCCGGCUAACUACGUGCCAGCAGCCGCGGUAAUACGUAGGGGGCAAGCGUUAUCCGGAUUUACUGGGUGUAAAGGGAGCGUAGACGGCGAUGCAAGUCUGAAGUGAAAGCCCGGGGCUCACCCCCGGAACUGCUUUGGAAACUGUAUAGCUAGAGUGCAGGAGAGGUAUGUGGAAUUCCUAGUGUAGCGGUGAAAUGCGUAGAUAUUAGGAGGAACACCAGUGGCGAAGGCGACAUACUGGACUGUAACUGACGUUGAGGCUCGAAGGCGUGGGGAGCAAACAGGAUUAGAUACCCUGGUA
rnacentral:rRNA from 1 species